GGCAAGGCAUUUAUUUAUAGGAGUGUUUGGUUGGAAAUUGACGGUCCCUUUGCGAACCUCCGAGCGCUUCAGGGGGGAGCGCUAGAGAACAGCUGGCCGGAAUUAGCGUUCAUAAAUCGGAUCGAUUUUGAGCUAACCACCCCUUACUCCGCGGAGCGCGAAAAUCCAAUAUCCAACUUGAAAACAACUUCGAUGCGGUCGGUAACACAAUGAAAACGCUGGACUAAAGUUUGUUUUGGACUGUAGCCUCAAAAGAUGGCGCCGAGCGACUGCGCGAGACGUAAACGUCACACGCAGUUACGUCAGUUCCAAAGCUCUAUUGCGAAGGAACGCAAACGCUACCAUGACCCCUAGAGGGCUCCGUAGGAGAGAACCCAGACUAUGCGGGGGUCAUAACUUUUUUUAGAACGGCAAUAGACCCGAGUCAUAUCAGUCUCCUCUCUUUAGGGACAUAAAUAUGAAUUCCAUGGCCAUACUAGAGCAACAUAGAGCUGGCAACUUUUUCACGAAGAAAUAACUCGCCAUUAGUAACGUCGAAUGAGGACGACGAAACGAUCGGAAGAAAGCUACGUCACCAAGCAGCCACGAGCUCGCGACUCCAGAGUGGAAGUGGAAGAAACUAUUUCCUGCAAAGAUUAAGCGAUCUGUUGGCAGGUCGGUCCAUCUGCAGCGUAAACAGUCUUGGACGGCGAUUGAACAGCCAAAUGAAAACACGGUACUGGCCCACUUUCAGAGGGUGCUGCA